rnacentral:rRNA from 1 species
AUUGAACGCUGGCGGCAUGCCUUACACAUGCAAGUCGAACGGUAACAGGUCUUCGGAUGCUGACGAGUGGCGAACGGGUGAGUAAUACAUCGGAACGUGCCUAGUAGUGGGGGAUAACUACUCGAAAGAGUGGCUAAUACCGCAUGCGAUCUACGGAUGAAAGCAGGGGAUCACAAGACCUUGUGCUACUAGAGCGGCCGAUGGCAGAUUAGGUAGGUGGUGGGGUAAAAGCUGACCAAGCCGAAGAUCGGUAGCUGGUCUGAGAGGACGAUCAGCCACACUGGGACUGAGACACGGCCCAGACUCCUACGGGAGGCAGCAGUGGGGAAUUUUGGACAAUGGGCGCAAGCCUGAUCCAGCAAUGCCGCGUGCAGGAUGAAGGCCUUCGGGUUGUAAACUGCUUUUGUACGGAACGAAAAGCCCUGGGUUAAUACCCUGGGGUCAUGACGGUACCGUAAGAAUAAGCACCGGCUAACUACGUGCCAGCCGCCGCAGUAA